rnacentral:tRNA from 1 species
CACCGGUGGUGGAGUGGAAUACACAAGAGAUUUAAAAUCUCUCGCCCUUAGGGGAUCGGGGCUUCAAAUCCCCCUCGGUGUACCA